GGCCACAAGAUCAGAGGAUUGCAGGUUUGAAUCCUGUAUUAUCAAUAAAAAAACACUCAAGUAGAUAUUUAUUGUUUAUUUUUCGCGAAACUGUGAAAGUUACAAAUUCUUUAAAUCAUGUCAAUUGGAACUAAUAUCUGACAUAUGAGAUGGAUGUCAGCAUGUUGUGCUUGGGCAGUAUUAGGCUAACACUCAAGCAGUUGGCCUUGAAACAUGAUGGUUGCCAGUUCAAUUCCCAGCAUGGAAUGUAGGUUUUAAAAAAAUCACAUUCAAACAUUAUUGUUUUAGUAUGAUGUCAGUUGGCCGGAUUUGAAGUGGAAUGUGUGAAACACAUUUGACUGUUAAUAAUGAAUUUACUCAACACCAUGUGACCAUCAAACCACAACUGACAACUUGGCAUGGAAAAAUGUGUCUAUCAACCUCACUUCAAGGCAGCCGAUAUGGGACCACAAGAACUCUAUGAUCUAUCAGCUCUGCUCAACACUCCAAAGGAUAAACAACUGACUGUGUUGUGAAGUCUGACACUAUUUUGGGGGACAUGUUAUUGCAAGUUAUAUGGAGCUCCUUCAGCCUCCAACUCCUAAUAAAAGAUUCAGAAAUGGACAACAAAUAAAUGACUAAAUUGCCUAAUGUGUUGAGGUUGAUUUGUAAUGUGUUCUUUGUAAUGUAUUGACAGUUGACUCUAUGACUGGGUCUACAUUUUAGAACAGAUUGUUGUGCAUUGUAUGAUUGUUGUGUCAUUGUCUACUGUUUUUUUGUCACUCACAUGGAACAAAAUGAAAAAAACUUGAUAUAAAGCAU